AUCGGUGGACACCCAACACUGCCCCCAUACAACCUUAGCCACUACCAUUAAUAAUCCCACAUCCCCGUUAUCUCACCUACCCUCACCCAUCCAAUCCCUCCUUCAGGAAUACCAAGGUAUUUUUCAAAAACCAAGAGGGUUACCUCCACAGAGACCACAUGACCACCAUAUUCCCCUUUUACCUCAUACCCCACCAAUCAAAGUGAAACCAUACCGGUACCCACAUCACCACAAGGAAGUUAUUACAACACUGAUAUCAGAAAUGCUGCAAGAGGGCAUUAUUCAACCUAGUACAAGCCCAUUCUCCUCACCGGUGCUCUUAAUAAAAAAAAAAGAUGGAACAUGGCGUUUCUGUGUGGAUUACAGAGCCUUAAAUGCAACCACCAUUCAUGACCACUUCCCCAUUCCCACCAUUGAUGAACUGCUCGAUGAGUUAGGCUCAGCUACUGUUUUUACUAAAAUAGACCUACACUCAGGGUACCACCAAAUACUGCUUCUCCCAGAAGACACUCACAAAACAGCGUUUCGCACUAUAGAUGGCCACUAUGAAUUCUUAGUGAUGCCAUUUGGUUUAACUAACGCUCCUUCUACUUUUCAGGCAGCCAUGAAUGAUCUUCUCAGACCAUACCUCCGCCGGUUUGUCUUAGUUUUUUUUUAUGAUAUUUUGAUUUAUAGUCCAAGUUUGCAGGAUCAUAUUGCUCACCUACAAACUAUAUUGGAAGUGCUACACACUCAGCAAUUUUUUGCCAAGCUUUCAAAGUGCAGUUUCGCAACCGCGGAAGUUAGUUACUUGGGUCACAUUAUUUCUGCACAAGGAGUCCAACCAGACCCAGAGAAAGUCAAAGCCAUACACGACUGGCCGCAGCCACGAUCACUCACGGAAUUACGGGGGUUCCUCGGCCUCACCGGAUUUUACAGGAAAUUCAUAAAGCACUACGCCACUCUCGCCGCUCCUCUCACCGACUUAUUACAACACCACAAAUUUUCAUGGACUGAGCUCGCGCAGCAAGCAUUCGAAAAAUUAAAAUUACACAUGAAGACAAUGCCUACACUACACCUUCCAGAUUUUAAGCUGCCCUUUGUGGUCGAAACAGAUGCCUCUGCAGUGGCCAUAGGAGCCGUCCUCAGCCAAUCUGGGCAACCAUUAGCUUUUUUCAGCAAAAAGAUGAAUCCCAAGCUCCAAGCUUCCUCCGUAUAUGUCCGAGAGAUGUAUGCCAUAACAGAGUCAGUAAAAAAAUGGCGUCAAUACCUCAUAGGACAACAUUUCAGAAUCAUAACAAAUCAAAAGAGCCUAAACACCCUCCUCUCCCAAACCAUUCAGACCCCAGAACAACAGAAAUGGACUGCUAAAUUGCAGGGAUAUGAUUUUCAAAUUAUUUACCGACCUGGGAAGGAAAAUGCUGUGGCUGAUGCCCUUUCAAGGCAAGGUCAUGAUUCCUCUACCAUACUGCUUGCAGUGUCGUCACCAAUUCCGCAGCUUAUUCAAGAACUCCAAACUUUUUUUGCCACCACAGAAGGUCAGGGAGUGUUCCAGGCGUGCACAAGCAGUCAACAACAGCCAAGCUUGUUCUCCACUAGCCACGGUUUACUGUUUUUUCGCCAUCAGAUAUUCGUGCCAGCAUCAUCUGAUUUCCGCCAGCGCAUUAUGACAGAGUUCCAUGCUUCCCCUUAUGGCGGCCAUUCCAGCAUCAAACCAACUCUCAAGCGCAUAGCCGCUUCAUUCUAUUGGCCGAAAUGGACCAGAGACGUCCAUCGUUUUGUCCAACAAUGCUCCACAUGCCAAAAAAAUAAGUAUAUGCCAACCAAAACUCAGGGUUUACUGCAACCAUUACCAAUUCCCAAACAAGUAUGGGAGGACAUAUCAAUGGAUUUUAUUACUCACCUUCCAGUCUCAUCCGGACACUCGGUCAUUUGGAUAUUGUGCGACAGACUCACAAAAUAUGCGCAUUUCAUCGCUCUGCCCACACACUUCACGGCCCAGCAACUAGCGAAAUCUUUCUCAGUAGAAAUUUGUCGCCUCCACGGACUACCAAAAACCAUUGUCUCAGAUCGCGACCCCUUGUUUGUUAGCACUUUCUGGCAGCACCUGUUCAAAGCACAAGGAACAACGUUAAAAUUUAGCUCGUCAUACCAUCCCCAAACGAACGGUCAAACAGAGGUAUUGAACCGCGGCUUAGAGGCCUACCUGAGAUGUUUUGUGGGAAACCAACCAAACAAGUGGUACAAAUAUCUUCACUUGGCAGAACUUUGGCAUAAUACAACGUACCACUCGGCUAUUGGAACCUCCCCGUUCCAUGCGUUGUACGGUCGACAACCACCCACAGUAGUUGAUUUCUUAAGCGUCCCAAACGUUGGAACCUCCAUCCAAGAGACACUGUCGGCACACACCGUCAUCCUCCACGACCUUAAGGAGCACUUGCGUCGCACACGCCAGCGCAUGUGUGACCAAGCUAAUCGCCACCGCACAGAUCGUAGUUUCAAACCAGGAGAAUGGGUGUGGGUACGACUCCAACCCUACCGGCAACACUCAUUGGAACGGCGAACACACCAAAAGCUUGGCCCGCGUUUUUCAGGCCCAUACCAGAUACUACGCCGCAUCGGUGCCGUCGCAUAUGAGCUUCAACUGCCACCGUCGGCGCGGGUUCACCCGGUUUUUCACGUUUCGCUGCUCAGACCUUUCAAAGGACCUGUGGGAGAACACCAGGGUCUUUCUACCAAAUCCAAGAACUUGGCACUUCCAACACCACUUAACUCAUCUCCCAACCCAAAUCAGAACGCUCUGAACUCACCGUAUCAGGAACCCAAUGACAACACGCCAUGUGUUACACUCACAAAUCACACCGACUUAGCUGGCAUCGAGCCUCACGCUCACGCGCCCCACCAACAAGCCAUCUCCACGCCUCAUAAUCACCUCAACACGCGUUCUGAUAGAAUCAACAAUAGCGCGCCACGUGUCCCACUCACUGGUGACGCGGUUUUCCCACGCCUCGAGCCCCACACGCACCAACAAACCCUUCCCACGCCCAUUAAUGGGCUGAACGCGUUUCCUGACGGAGCCAACAAGAGUGUGCCGCGUGUCCCACUCACUGAUGGUGCAACUUCCCCACACCUCGAGCCGCGCGUCCCACUCACUGC
rnacentral:lncRNA from 1 species